UGUGAUGCAUACGACGGUGUCUGCUGGUGUC
rnacentral:piRNA from 1 species